GAAGUGUGGACGCCAGUCUGCAUGGAGCCGACCUUGAAAUACCACCCUUUAAUGUUUGAUGUUCUAACGUGGACCCGUAAUCCGGGUUGCGGACAGUGUCUGGUGGGUAGUUUGACUGGGGCGGUCUCCUCCUAAAGAGUAACGGAGGAGCACGAAGGUUGGCUAAUCCUGGUCGGACAUCAGGAGGUUAGUGCAAUGGCAUAAGCCAGCUUGACUGCGAGCGUGACGGCGCGAGCAGGUGCGAAAGCAGGUCAUAGUGAUCCGGUGGUUCUGAAUGGAAGGGCCAUCGCUCAACGGAUAAAAGGUACUCCGGGGAUAACAGGCUGAUACCGCCCAAGAGUUCAUAUCGACGGCGGUGUUUGGCACCUCGAUGUCGGCUCAUCACAUCCUGGGGCUGAAGUAGGUCCCAAGGGUAUGGCUGUUCGCCAUUUAAAGUGGUACGCGAGCUGGGUUUAGAACGUCGUGAGACAGUUCGGUCCCUAUCUGCCGUGGGCGCUGGAGAACUGAGGGGGGCUGCUCCUAGUACGAGAGGACCGGAGUGGACGCAUCACUG
rnacentral:rRNA from 1 species